rnacentral:lncRNA from 1 species
GGACGGUCCAUAUAUUCACUUUCCUCAUAUAAUUUUCAAUUGGGAUUUCUCUUGGGUAUAUCGCAUUCAUAAAAUGAUAUGUAUAGAUACAUCUCAAAUCAUCAUAAAUAGUCGAAAUGUGCAGUAGUUUUAUAUAUAAUUCUAAAUAUAGCUUUACACGGUAAAGUGUCUACAUCUUCGUUUUCACCUGUCUACUUUGUGUGAUGAGAAUUUUGAUCUUGGAACUAUUUCCUAAUAAUUUUAUUCAUUUUUUUUUUAUUGUUAACUUAAAAUGAAC